AUUUAUAUAGUUUAAUAUAAAACACUACAUUUUCAGCGUAGAAAUAAGGGAAUCUUUUAUAAAUA
rnacentral:tRNA from 1 species